ACGAACGCUGGCGGCGUGCUUCACCCAUGCAAGUCGCACGGAAAGGCCCUGCUUUUGUGGGGUGCUCGAGUGGCGAACGGGUGAGUAACACGUGAGUAACCUGCCCUUGACUUUGGGAUAACUUCAGGAAACUGGGGCUAAUACCGGAUAGGAGCUCCUGCUGCAUGGUGGGGGUUGGAAAGUUUCGGCGGUUGGGGAUGGACUCGCGGCUUAUCAGCUUGUUGGUGGGGUAGUGGCUUACCAAGGCUUUGACGGGUAGCCGGCCUGAGAGGGUGACCGGCCACAUUGGGACUGAGAUACGGCCCAGACUCCUACGGGAGGCAGCAGUGGGGAAUAUUGCACAAUGGGCGGAAGCCUGAUGCAGCAACGCCGCGUGCGGGAUGACGGCCUUCGGGUUGUAAACCGCUUUCGCCUGUGACGAAGCGUGAGUGACGGUAAUGGGUAAAGAAGCACCGGCUAACUACGUGC
rnacentral:rRNA from 1 species